CCUACGGGUGGCAGCAGUGGGGGAUAUUGCACAAUGGGGGGAACCCUGAUGCAGCGACGCCGCGUGGGUGAAGAAGCGCCUCGGCGCGUAAAGCCCUUUCAGCAGGGAAGAAAAUGACGAUACCUGAAGAAGAAGCCCCGGCUAACUACGUGCCAGCAGCCACGGUAAUACGGAGGGGGCAAGCGUGAUACGGAUGUACUGGGUGUAAAGGGGGCGCAGACGGCGGUGCACGUCAGGAGUGAAAGCCCGGGGCCCAACCCCGGGACUGCUCUUGGAACUGCGUGGCUGGAGUGCAGGAGGGGCAGGCGGAAUUCCAGGGGUAGCGGUGAAAUGCGUAGAGAUCAGGAGGAACACCGGUGGAGAAGGCGGCCUGCUGGACUGAAACUGACGUUGAGGUCCGAAAGCGUGGGGAGCAAACAGGAUUAGAUACCCUAGUAGUC
rnacentral:rRNA from 1 species